rnacentral:rRNA from 1 species
CCUACGUGUGGCAGCAGUGAGGAAUAUUGGUCAAUGGGCGCGAGCCUGAACCAGCCAAGUAGCGUGAAGGAUGACUGCCCUACGGGUUGUAAACUUCUUUUAUAAAGGAGUAAAGUGAGGCACGUGUGCCUUUUUGUAUGUACUUUAUGAAUAAGGAUCGGCUAACUCCGUUCCAGCAGCCGCGGUAAUACGGAGGAUCCGAGCGUUAUCCGGAUUUAUUGGGUUUAAAGGGAGCGUAGAUGGGUUGUUAAGUCAGUUGUGAAAGUUUGUGGCUCAACCGUAAAAUUGCAAUUGAUACUGGCAGUCUUGAGUAUAGUAGAGGUAGGUGGAAUUCGUGGUGUAGCGGUGAAAUGCGUAGAGAUCAGGAAGAAUACCGAUUGCGAAGGCAGCCUACUAAACGGCCACUGACAUUGAUGCGCGAAAGCGUGGGGAUCAAACAGGAUUAGAUACCCGAGUAGUC